UCCGAGUUGUCCCCGGCAGUCCUUUUAGAGUCCCCGGCAUUACCCGCUGGCAACUAAAAGCAGGGGUUGCGCUCGUUGCGGCACUUAAGCCAACACCUCACGGCACGAGCUGACGACAGCCAUGCAGCACCUUGCUACCUGCCCGAAGGAAACCCCCUUUCAGGGGCUGUCAGGUAGCAUUCGAGCCUGGGUAAGGUUCUUCGCGUUGCAUCGAAUUAAAGAACAUGCUCCGCUGCUUGUGCGGGCCCCCGUCAAUUCUUUUGAGUUUUAAUCUUGCGACCGUACUCCCCAGGCGGUCAACUUAUCGCGUUAGCUGCGCCACCAAGCACACUAAGGUGCCCAACGGCUAGUUGACAUCGUUUACGGCGUGGACUAC
rnacentral:misc_RNA from 1 species